rnacentral:rRNA from 1 species
CUUGGUCAUUUAGAGGAAGUAAAAGUCGUAACAAGGUCUCCGUAGGUGAACCUACGGAGGGAUCAUUAUCGAGUUAAACGUUUGUCUUACGGGGCAAGCGCCAUCUCCAACCCUUUGUGAACACAUCUUGUUGCUUCGGGGGCGACCCUGCCGUUCGCGGCAUUCCCCCCGGAGGCCAUCAAAACACUGCAUUCUUACGUCGGAGUAUAAAGUUAAUUUAAUAAAACUUUCAACAACGGAUCUCUUGGUUCUGGCAUCGAUGAAGAACGCAGCGAAAUGCGAUAAGUAAUGUGAAUUGCAGAAUUCAGUGAAUCAUCGAAUCUUUGAACGCACAUUGCGCCCCCUGGUAUUCCGGGGGGCAUGCCUGUUCGAGCGUCAUUUCACCACUCNAAGCCUCGCUUGGUAUUGGGCGUCGCGAGUCUCUCGCGCGCCUUAAAGUCUCCGGCUGUUUGACCCGUCUCCCAGCGUUGUGGCAACUAUCUCGCAGUGGAGUUCGAGUCGGAUUGGCCGUUAAAUCUUUCAAAGGUUGACCUCGGAUCAGGUAGGGAUACCCGCUGAACUUAAGCAUAUCAAUAAGCGGAGGAAAGAAACCAACAGGGAUUGCCCUAGUAACGGCGAGUGAAGCGGCAACAGCUCAAAUUUGAAAUCUGGCGCAAGCCCGAGUUGUAAUUUGUAGAGGAUGCUUCUAGGUAGCGACCNGGUCUAAGUUCCUUGGAACAGGACGUCAUAGAGGGUGAGAAUCCCGUAUGUGACCGGCCCGCACCUUCUACGUAGCUCCUUCGACGAGUCGAGUUGUUUGGGAAUGCAGCUCUAAAUGGGAGGUAAAUUUCUUCUAAAGCUAAAUACCGGCCAGAGACCGAUAGCGCACAAGUAGAGUGAUCGAAAGAUGAAAAGCACUUUGGAAAGAGAGUUAAAAAGCACGUGAAAUUGUUGAAAGGGAAGCGCUCACAACCAGACUUCUAGGCAGUGUUCCGCCGGUCUUUUGACCGGUCUACUCUCUGUCUCGAGGCCAACAUCAUCUGGGACCGCUGGAUAAGACCUUAGGAAUGUAGCUCCCCUCGGGGAGUGUUAUAGCCUCUGGUGAUGCAGCGAGUCUCGGGUGAGGUCCGCGCUUCGGCAAGGAUGUUGGCGUAAUGGUUGUCAGCGGCCCGUCUUGAAACACGGACC